GGCUAUAUGGGAGUGCUUUCGUUAGUGAGUAGAUAUAUAAUGUUGACAUAGACCUUGGUAGCUGACUUUAAAAUUGUUUAAAUAAGAAUUUAUUUUUACCAUAAAAAGGAAGCAAGCUUACCAAUAGGUGAAAAAUCAGUAUGGCCAGCAAGAGG